UAAAGUCUAGUUAAUUCAUAACAUAAAUCUGUCUAAUUUAAAUUACUCAUCUCACGAGUGACUUUUA
rnacentral:tRNA from 1 species